rnacentral:misc_RNA from 1 species
AUGCGAUAAGUAAUGUGAAUUGCAGAAUUCAGUGAAUCAUCGAAUCUUUGAACGCACAUUGCGCCCGCCAGUAUUCUGGCGGGCAUGCCUGUCCGAGCGUCAUUUCAACCCUCGAACCCCUCCGGGGGGUCGGCGUUGGGGAUCGGCACUUACCUGCCGGCCCCGAAAUACAGUGGCGGUCUCGCCGCAGCCUCUCCUGCGCAGUAGUUUGCACACUCGCACCGGGAGCGCGGCGCGUCCACGGCCGUAAAACAACCCAAACUUCUGAAAUGUUGACCUCGGAUCAGGUAGGAAUACCCGCUGAACUUAA